rnacentral:lncRNA from 1 species
CUGGGCUGGAAAAAGCCCAGGGUUCUCCAGCCUGUUGAGUGGAGGUCAGUAGAGAUGCUGGGAUGCAGAUCCUUCGCUGCCUCUAAUCUGGAGAUGUUGACAGCAGGACAGACUCCUACUGGGACAGGGCUACAGCAUGACCCUGCAGAUGGUGAGGAUCUCACAAACUCUCUAUGUCGUAAAGCUCUGCUGCAGGGUGAAGAAUUUUAAUAAGGAAUGGAGAGAAAAAAAACCACAACAGUGAGAGACAGAGAGAAAAGGGAUACAUUGCAAAGAACCUGACCUUAUUUCCUCAGCGUGUGACUAAAUCACACAGCUAAAAAUAGUACUCUAUGGAACAAAUGCAAGCUGACACACGCUGCCGUCCCUGUAGUGUUUGCUUCUCCCCCUGCUCCUCCCAGGCAGUCCUGCUGAAAAUCAUAGAAUCAUACAACCAUAGAAUGGCUUGAGUUGGAAAGGACCUCCAAGAUAAUUCAGUUCCAGCUGCCCUGACCAUGGGCAGGAUUGCCAACCACUAGAUCAGGCACAACAUCAUGUUGCUUUGGACCCCAUCCAACCUGGCCUUGGACACCUCCAGGGAGAAAAUCCUAAAGAAGCUGUUCCCUAUGGACACGAAACAAGACAAUGAGCAGCUCAGAAUGGAAUUCAUGUGAAAGCAUAUGGCAGCUGAGUGAAGGACAGGGUGGCUGCAAGGAGGUGAGGACGUCCCACCCAGCUGGAUGCAGAGGCUGAGAAGCACAAACCAAGUCAUGUGGAACAUCUGUGAAGGUAGAGAAGGAAGCCUUGGUGCUCAGAAGGUGCAUCUUCUUGAUGCAAACAGCUUUGAGAGUGGAGAAAGGAGCAGUGGGUGCUCAGAGGGGAAUAGUUUGGUCUGGCAAGAAAUCAGCUCAGCUGGGGGUGUGAGACAGACCCAGCUUUAGAUUCCUGCUGAGAAUCACGCAGCUCUGUAUCCUGCAAGGUUUCUGUUCCUGUGGCUCCUGCCUGUUUCACCUUGAGAACAGGUACA